CGGGUGAGUAAUGUCUGGGAAACUGCCCGAUGGAGGGGGAUAACUACUGGAAACGGUAGCUAAUACCGCAUAACGUCGCAAGACCAAAGAGGGGGACCUUAGGGCCUCUUGCCAUCGGAUGUGCCCAGAUGGGAUUAGCUAGUAGGUGGGGUAACGGCUCACCUAGGCGACGAUCCCUAGCUGGUCUGAGAGGAUGACCAGCCACACUGGAACUGAGACACGGUCCAGACUCCUACGGGAGGCAGCAGUGGGGAAUAUUGCACAAUGGGCGCAAGCCUGAUGCAGCCAUGCCGCGUGUAUGAAGAAGGCCUUCGGGUUGUAAAGUACUUUCAGCGGGGAGGAAGGGAGUAAAGUUAAUACCUUUGCUCAUUGACGUUACCCGCAGAAGAAGCACCGGCUAACUCCGUGCCAGCAGCCGCGGUAAUACGGAGGGUGCAAGCGUUAAUCGGAAUUACUGGGCGUAAAGCGCACGCAGGCGGUUUGUUAAGUCAGAUGUGAAAUCCCCGGGCUCAACCUGGGAACUGCAUCUGAUACUGGCAAGCUUGAGUCUCGUAGAGGGGGGUAGAAUUCCAGGUGUAGCGGUGAAAUGCGUAGAGAUCUGGAGGAAUACCGGUGGCGAAGGCGGCCCCCUGGACGAAGACUGACGCUCAGGUGCGAAAGCGUGGGGAGCAAACAGGAUUAGAUACCCUGGUAGUCCACGCCGUAAACGAUGUCGACUUGGAGGUUGUGCCCUUGAGGCGUGGCUUCCGGAGCUAACGCGUUAAGUCGACCGCCUGGGGAGUACGGCCGCAAGGUUAAAACUCAAAUGAAUUGACGGGGGCCCGCACAAGCGGUGGAGCAUGUGGUUUAAUUCGAUGCAACGCGAAGAACCUUACCUGGUCUUGACAUCCACGGAAGUUUUCAGAGAUGAGAAUGUGCCUUCGGGAACCGUGAGACAGGUGCUGCAUGGCUGUCGUCAGCUCGUGUUGUGAAAUGUUGGGUUAAGUCCCGCAACGAGCGCAACCCUUAUCCUUUGUUGCCAGCGGUCCGGCCGGGAACUCAAAGGAGACUGCCAGUGAUAAACUGGAGGAAGGUGGGGAUGACGUCAAGUCAUCAUGGCCCUUACGACCAGGGCUACACACGUGCUACAAUGGCGCAUACAAAGAGAAGCGACCUCGCGAGAGCAAGCGGACCUCAUAAAGUGCGUCGUAGUCCGGAUUGGAGUCUGCAACUCGACUCCAUGAAGUCGGAAUCGCUAGUAAUCGUGGAUCAGAAUGCCACGGUGAAUACGUUCCCGGGCCUUGUACACACCGCCCGUCACACCAUGGGAGUGGGUUGCAAAAGAAGUAGGUAGCUUAACCUUCGGGAGGGCGCUUACCACUUUGUGAUUCAUGACUGGGGUGAAGUCGUAACAAGGUAACCGUAGGGGAACCUGCGGUUGGAUCACCUCCUUACCUUAAAGAAGC
rnacentral:rRNA from 1 species